GGGGGGCCUCGGCCCGGGAAGGGGAGAGUGGCCGAGUGGUCAAAAGCGACAGACUGUAAAUCUGUUGAAGUUUUUCUACGUAGGUUCGAAUCCUGCCUCUCCCAUUGUAGACUUCAGAGAAGAGAAAGGAGGCAUUCGCCAGCGUAGGCCGAGCGACGCUCUUUCUUUUUUUUGGCCGCGCCGUGAAGUUCAAUUGUAUCGUAUGUUAGUUAGAGAGGUUGGGGAACUACUACGAUCUAUAGAUUCCCCAUCUAUAUUCAAUCCCAACGAGAAUAGAAGCGAGUCGCUUCCGGCUUGGCUUGUAGUCGUAUUUAGCUUAUGUAGUGGUCGGCCUUCCUACACGCGCGCGCCCGCCAGAAUGCCCCCUUGGUUCUGGACGAAGCCAAGUCGAUACAUACGAUAGGCGAAGGCCGGGAACGCAAGUUUGAUCGAAGCGCCAAAGGCACCGAAGGUGAAGAAAAGGCUCGGGAUGGAUUUAGGAGUCUUUGUGCGAGCCGUAUGCGGUGAGAGUCGCACGUACGGUAACGAGGGGGGUUCGCGUCUAUACGUGUAGUGUGGUGGUUGGGCCUACCCACCCUAU
rnacentral:lncRNA from 1 species